GAUGAACGCUGGCGGCGUGCUUAACACAUGCAAGUCGAACGAAGAUGCCGGAGUGCUUGCACUUUGGCAGACUGAGUGGCGGACGGGUGAGUAACGCGUGGGUAACCUGCCUUAUACAGGGGGAUAACAGUUGGAAACGACUGCUAAUACCGCAUAAGCGCACGGUAUCGCAAGACCUCGCGCAAUUGGAGCGGCCGAUGCCCGAUUAGCUAGUUGGUGAGGUAAAGGCUCACCAAGGCGACGAUCGGUAGCUGGUCUGAGAGGACGACCAGCCACACUGGGACUGAGACACGGCCCAGACUCCUACGGGAGGCAGCAGUGGGGAAUUUUGGACAAUGGGAGCAACCCUGAUCCAGUCAUGCCGCGUGCAGGAUGAAGGCCUUCGGUGUAAACUGCUUUGUCAGGGACGAAAGGACCGUAGUUAAUACCAUGGUCUGCUGACGGUACCUGAAGAAUAAGCA
rnacentral:rRNA from 1 species